rnacentral:sRNA from 1 species
GAUGGAGAAGAGCAGCCCGGGCCGGUCAGAGCACACGCCUGUGAAGCAGAAGCGCAGCUUCCAGUAGAAGAGGUGCUCCCAGAUGAAGAUGCCCGUAAGCCACAGUGUCUCCAGCUCCUCCAUCUCACCUGCACAGAACACAGCAGCCACAGGCAGUGAGGACCCAAGCGCAGGCCUUGGUGUAGACCCUUCUGAGGUGGGAACAGGUAUAAGAUAUCACUGACUGAAGCAUGCUGGCAACCUACCAUGGCAACCACACUGCUGAAGAAAACAGACUUUUCCUUCCCCAUUGGCCAAAAGCUACCAGUGGCAACUUAGCUAGGAGUAGGUAGAGCUUUGUGAGCCCCUUCCCUGUCCAUGCUAGAAUGGUGGCUAGCUUGGUCUUGUCCCAGCAACCAUAGCUGUUGUAAGUUUGUGAGCAUUAUUGUUCUGUCAUGUCCAGAAGACAGCAUUUCUUAGCCAUCUCCGCUGACAUCUGGCCCUUACUGUUAUCUGCUCCCUCUUCCAGUAUGUCCUCUGGGCCUGAAGGAUGCAGUGUGGUACGGACAUCUUGCCCGUGAGCAUGCCCCAUGCCCCAUCACUUUCCCAAUUUCAGGUUUCAGCAUUAACUGCUGCCUGUUGUGUACCUCUCUAACCUUUGACCCUGAGUUAAUCCUCUGCAGAGCUAAUCUCCCUUUAAAUAUCAUGAACUCCCUCAAGAUUGCAGGGUUGCAGAAAUGCCUUUACAGAUGGUUUUAGGGAUGGCUUCUACCCCAGCCCCAUGAGUUCUUACUGCAACCUUUUCCUGUAUGGAAAAGACUGAACAUGAUCACCAUUUAAGUGAUAUACAUUUGGAUUCUCCAAGUCAUCUGGGUUCCGCUUCUCACUCAGCUCCAAGCAGAAGGAAAACCUCCCAGCAUUCUUCGCUUUAAUGUACAGAGAUUUCCCCAAUUUCCUUUUCAUAGAUAGAAGUGACUCACAGGGAACAUGCAUAUUUAUGAGAGGAAAAAUAUUAAGAGCUCUAUCUCCCAGUAAGUUCGUCACCCAAGAUGUCAGUCCUGGUGAUUCAGCAUGGCAGGCAGAGUGGCAGGAAGGUGUAUCUUGACCCAAAUCUUUACCUUCUAACACAUACCAGCCCCGAACAAGCAGAGUGGCCGAUGUCAUGGAAGGCUGAUGCUUUCCCAUCCACCCAGCAGCACCACAGACUCAGCCAAGUCCCUCUGCCCAGCAGGAGCCUGGGCACUUAACAUAAAUGGCUCCUCUCUUUCUAAAGCCACCAAAGGUCACUUUCUAAAGGCCACCAAAGGUUUUUAGGAAGGUCACUUCCUAAAAACACAACACGACGUGGUUUUGAGUGUCCCCUCCCUUGGGACACAUAUAAAAAAAAUGGGUCUUUCUCCCCAGGAUUCAUCUAAAUCCAAAAAUAUCUUCUCUUUAGUGCUGUCUCAAAAAAAGUCAGGUUUGUAAGCCCGUGACACUGGCAGUCUGGCUAAAAAAAACAUGGACUGGAUUCCUUUUAAGAUGCAAAUACGAGGAAUUUUUGUCUUUGUCCUUGGCCUGAGCAUACCACACUUCUCUACAGAACUAAGCCAACCUGGUAAUGCCAAGCAGGAUUCCAACAGGACAGGGAAAUCCUAUUUCUCAGCAUCAACUACAGCCUGUUCAAAUCACUUUCCAGUUAGAUAGUUCCUGCCUUGUGGCCCUCUUCCUAGUGUAGUGAACUGUGGUUCAAAUUCUUUCUUAUCCCAGUUUUAAUUUGCUUGAGCAUAUUAUAAUCUCCUCCAGGAGGUCAGGGUCCAUGCUUUAUGAUCUGGGUAUUUCUCAUAGCCCACAGUACACACUAAGAACCAGAUCCAAACUUUCUCAUAGCCCACAGUGCACACACUAAGAAUCAGAGCCACACUCCCCAUUUCUAUUUUUUCUUUGUAUUCUCAAGCUUACACUGGGCAGGACUACAAAACCGUGCAGACCUUUUUGCUGCUUCCUAGGCUUAUAAAUAGAGGGAAGGCAGGACACAUGGGGAUGUCGCAGUGGACGAGGAGUGGGCCUUGACAUUGAGGGUGCCCUGAGCUGCUGUGGAACAUCAAAUGUCAUUUUCACAAGGACAAGCUUGGCCUCCCACAUCCCAUGGUCAGUGACCUUACAAAGAGGCCACAGGGUCCUCAGUUUUAUCUAGGGAUAAACUGGACUCUCACAUGGGCAGGUGGAAGCUUGAGUUAUUUCCAGACUGCAGUAUCUUUUCUCCUCCUGGGAGAAGAUGGGUGCCCACGAAGGAUCUCCCUGUUCACACCUCUAGUGACAGUAACCCAUGGGACAUUGUCCCCAUUUCAAAGGUUCUUCUUAUUUCUGUCUUCUAGGGACAGAGAUGCAUUGUCAAGUGCAGGUGUCACGGUGACACAUCCUGUUACGUGGGUUCUAGAAAUCACAUUCAGGUUCCCUUCCUAAAACAUCACUGAAUGAACCAUCUCCCUAGUCCACCCUGAAUUUGUUUUUAUUUAGCAAAAUUACAUAAAAUCCACCAUAUUCCAUUACGGCCCUGUUUUAUUUGUGUGUGUC